UGACGGAAGGGCACCACCAG
rnacentral:ncRNA from 2 species